AUCGUUGAAUUUAUUAAUACCUAGUUCCCAAUGGAUCACUGAGGUUAAGGAACAUUGUGCGUGGUUGGUAACCAGAUGGGUGACCAUAUGGGUAAUCGCGUUUUGGUGGUU
rnacentral:rRNA from 1 species